rnacentral:rRNA from 1 species
UACGUAGGGUGCAAGCGUUUGUCCGGAAUUAUUGGGCGUAAAGAGCUCGUAGGCGGCUUGUCACGUCGACUGUGAAAACCCGGGGCUCAACUCCGGGCCUGCAGUCGAUACGGGCUGGCUUGAGUGCGGUAGGGGAGACUGGAAUUCCUGGUGUAGCGGUGAAAUGCGCAGAUAUCAGGAGGAACACCGGUGGCGAAGGCAGCUCGCUGGGACGAUACUGACGCUGAGGCGCGAAAGCGUGGGGAGCAAACAGG